rnacentral:sRNA from 1 species
UUUUUUCUUCUUCUUUU